rnacentral:lncRNA from 1 species
UGUGCCCAGCUGAGCACAAAGUCUUGCUUUGCACAUUUUAACCCACUCAAUCCUUAUAAUAUGCAUGCAGGUGGAUGUUAUUGUGCCCACUUUAUAGUGGAGGAGACGGCAAAGCUUCUGGUGAUAAAGGAACCUGCCCAAGCCCACGUGCUGGCAACCCGCAAAGGCAGGAGUCACACCCAGUUGUGUCUGACUCCCAAGUCUCAUUCUUGGUCUCCCGCUGGGUGAGGAGGCAGUCACAGACCUAAUCCCUGCCCUCACAGAGUUUACAAUCUAGUGUUGCCGUCCCAGUUCUCAAAUAAGCACCACUGGGAAGUGUUCUUGAGUCUGAUCCGAAUCCCUCCUGCUGCAGCUCUGACUCGGCCUUUCUUCCUUAGGACCUCAGUGGGGCGGAGGAUCAGCUUUCAUCUCCUUGCAGACACCUGGGGUGCUCCCAUGAGUUCCCAGCCUUUUUUCCACCCCCACCUUGCACAGAGGCCUCCCCCACAGGAGAGAGUGAGAUGAGGGAACAAAGGUGGCAGAACUUGCACAAUCCUGCAGCUAAGAAGUAGAGGAGCAGAGAUCUGAACCAAGAGACAGUCCUCAAGGCUUGUGCUCCCAAGCACGUCCCUCCACUACCUCCCUUCACGAUACUCAGUGGCACGGGUUAGGACGCCAGGCAUGGAUGAUGUGCCCACUGACCUCAGGCCUUGAAUAACAAGGAUUUCACUGCACGUAGAAGUAGGGGUAGGGCACAGCCAAGCAGAGAAGAAACUCAUUGGAAAACAGUCAGUGAUGCCAUGUGGCAGGAAGCACUCCAAGGCUGGGGAGUAUGGAAAGGCCCCUAUCAAGGAGGCAGAAGUCUUCCUAGAAGAUCUGAAGAAUGACAGGAAUUAGCCAGGUAAAAAGAGGAGGGCCUUGGGGAAGGGAAUUCCGGGCAACAGCAUGUGCGGCAGCCCAGAGGCGAGAGACGCUGCACAGGUGGGGAACCACAGGCGGCUCCCUCUGACUAUCUUGGCAUCUGUGUAUACUUCAAGUGCAAGUGCUUCCCUGCGAUGCGCCACACAUGUGCUGAAUCGUACCUGUGUUGCAUAUCUAGAUGUGUAUACCUGU